UACGUAGGGUGCAAGCGUUGCCUGGAUUUAUUGGGCGUAAAGAGCGUGUAGGCGGCCAUGUAGGUCCGGUGUGAAAACUCGAGGCUUAACCUCGAGAUGUCAUCGGAAACCAUUUGGCUAGAGUCCGGAAGAGGAGAGUGGAAUUCCUGGUGUAGCGGUGAAAUGCGCAGAUAUCAGGAAGAACACCAAUGGCGAAAGCAGCUCUCUGGGACGGUACUGACGCUGAGACGCGAAAGCGUGGGGAGCGAACAGG
rnacentral:rRNA from 1 species